AACCCUGAACGUUAUACUGCAAAUAUGUUAAUACGGGAGUACUCUUAUUUAGAAACAUACCAGUCCUGCUUACCAUGACAGCCCCUCCAGCAGUUGAUGGAAACGGUAAAACGUUCCUCUAAGGCAGGCAGAGGUAUUCAACUUCAAGUGAAGGACGACCACACAAGGAUGACUCCGUAAGCCCCAGGUUUCCACAGCGGAACAGGGGCGCGCCCCCCAAGUCUAGGCAGAUCUGUGAAAUUCCAGUGUUUCAGAAAUGGCUGUCCUCUUGGGCUUUUCCCUCAUGACAGUGUCGAAGGUUAACAGGGAA